CGCGUAACUGUCCGAGAGCUGAGCCCUCCCUGUGGCCCCGCGGCAUCCGCCCCCCCGUCCCGCCCCCCGCCCCCUCGUCUGACGCGCUGACUCCGCCUCCCGGCGCUGCCCGACCCCGCUUUGAGCCGCUUCUCCCCAGGGAACGUCGCGCGCAGACAGGGCUGCGCUGGCCCGGCCCAGGCUCCCUGCUCCUGCUCCCGUGGGAGUGUGCGGGGGCAUUACAGCCGCUGGUGACUAGCCGGGCCCUGUGUUUAGCUCCUUGUUGCUACUGGCAGAGCCUGCCCCGCCCAGACAGGGUGACCAAGUGUCCCCUUUUUAUAGGGACAGUCCCGAUAAUUGGGGCUUUGUCUUAUAUAGGUGCCUAUUCCCCCCCCCCCCGGUUUUUCACACUAGCUAUCUCGUCACCCUAAGUCUGGACCGCAAACAGCAGCUGGCCCAGGCCUGAGUCUGCCCCGGCUCGGGCCAUGCCGGCUGCUGAGCCCUGCAGCCAUCCCACUGCACAGGCCAGGUUAACAGUGAUGGUCCGUCUGUUCCUCGGAAACAUGAAAUUGUGGCCCGUAGGUAGGCAAAAGCACAGGCUCAGGCCAGUGAACCUGCUGGGCUGCUACCAGAGGCGCACAGCACCUGCCCUGUGCUCAUUGCACCAAGCUGCCACCUUGUGUGGCUGGUGUCAUGGCCAGCUGGCAGUACCCAUCAGAGAAGGGUUGGAAUGAAACCCAAACAGCAGCAGGAGAGGGGCAAGGGGCAGGACAUACAUACAGGAGACAGACAGUCACUGCAGGAGAGCAGCAUUUUCGGAUGCAGAGCAAAAGUGACACCUUGUGGCUAAUUUGGGCUAACCACAGCUGCUGGAUUUCUGCCUCCCCAGUCCCAGCUGUGCGGGACUGCAGGGCAUGUUCCAGAGGGGCAGGACUGGCUCCCAGUAGUUCUGAUGUCUGAAGCUGAACUUCCUAGAUUAUCACUUGGCUCAGUGCAGCCCAUGUCAUUGCAGCUAUGUUAUUACAGUUGCAACGUUGACAGACCCCAGUCAUCGGCAGGCAGGAUCGAACCUGGGACCUCUGGAGUUUAGUGCAUGAGCUGAAAGCCAACUCGUUGUUAGGUAAUACUGUAGAGCGGACUCAUUUAACUCUCUCUCUAAGUGGUCUCAGUGCCACUAGCUGGGACAGAACACCACACCCAGAAGGUGUGUGGGUUACACAGGCACUUCAGUUGUAUGUAUACGUUGGUUGCUCCAUAUGCCCUUGUAAUGGUGCAAAUCGCUGCAGAUCGUUUAGCAGGGAAACACCUACGCUGUAUCCCUGCACAGCGCUCCUUUCAUCCGCUGUUGGAUCAUUGCAUUGUGGGUGUCAGCACAGCUUCCCAGAGCACGGACUCAAACACCUGAUGAACAGUUGGCAGAUUCCUAAAGGGUCAACACUCCUGCUAUGAAAGCUCCCAACACACAUUUCUGGGUCCUCCGGGAAGUGCUCCAGCAAAACCAGGGAAGCUCAGAUUUGAUAUUUUGGGCAUUCCAUGGUAAACACCAGACAGAGCUGCCCCCUUCACCCCUACAGGCCUUCUCCAGGCACCAGAAAGAAGCAAAAAAGGGCACAAACCUGCUUUUUUUUUCUUAAUUCAAUAAAUAAAACAAACCCCAAACAGAGGAGAUUUGUGAGGAAAUAGUGCAAAUGCUGGUGGCAUAGAACCUUUGCUAUGGCCAAAGUGCUGACAGGAGGAGCUGGGCACCUGCCCCAUAAUCGAUUGAGGUAUCCAGGGAAGUCCUUUGGGAAUACGCAAAGGGAUGGGAUUUCAAAAAGUGCUCAGUAUUGGCUUGACUCUGCUCCAGUUGAAGUCAAUGGAAGUUUUACUAUUUCCCUGGGAGCAGAGUUAGGUCAACCCUGAGGCCCGGGUCGAUGAAGGUAUUUAGAUUCCUAACUCCCAGAGAAAUCAAUGGGCGUUAAGUGCCUUUGUGGAGCUGGAGUUGAAUGCUUUUGCAGAUCUCAUGCGAGGUGCCUACAUGUAUCUGGGAGGCAGGGAUGUAUGAGCCCCUGGGUAGGUGCUGAGCCCUGCUCAGGGAUAGAGAAGGGAUGGCUUGUGUCCCCCCAUUUGGCCCCCAGCACAGAAUAGAGCGGCACUACCCGCUUUCCUAGCUUGUGACCUGGCUGCAAGAGCCCCCCGAGGAUACCCUGACCACCACCUUCCUGCCCCCACCCUGGGGACACCGGCAGGGUGGGAGGGCUGCAGCGUUGCUAAGUCAAUUGCACUGGCUGAGGAAGCCUGUAGGUUUUCUUUGCAGUUCCAUCCAUGCCAGCAGAAAGUGACCACAGUGCACCGAGGAAUCCCUUGUCAGCUUCCAUCUGGCUGCUGCCUCCUCUCCUUGCUGCUAGCAGCGGGGACAUGGCAGUCCUGGGCUGUUUGAUACAUGCAGCCUCUGACACCUGUUCUCCUUCUCUUAGGGAUGCCCGCAUGAUGGGUCUCUGAGACGUCCUGAGUGCAAUGAGUUUGUGGUUCUCAGUCCAGUUCCUAGUGGGCCCACUUGACCCAAACCAUCCUGCGACUGGCAGCAGUUGGCCCCCUUGGCUGGCAGCGUUAGCAGCCUGAAAGUAUCAAAGAGGAUGACCCCUCUCGGGGCAGAGUGCGUGCGGUGGGGCAGCUUGCCCUGUUGGUGCCCCUGCUGUACCUGUUCUGCAGUGAGACGGCCAGGCUGCGGUGUCCAGGCGGCGUCACUGUCCCCUCUAUCCCACCAUGGUCACAAUGGGAUCUUUCCAGUCCUAGUGGGUUGGCUUUGUCCUUUCACCCUAAAAUGUGACUGAGUCCAGUAUCCUCCAGCCUGGCUGGCAGCCGCCCCCUCGCUUUAGGAGCCCUGUUUGACUCCACAUGACUCAAAAAUCGUGCAGUGUACAUGUGCAUAGAGGCGGGGCUUUCCUACUCCAGGCCUUCCUUCCUGCUGGGGACAGGAGUCCGGCAACCCAGACGGUGCAGGGCCGGGAACAUCUGCUGCAGACGGUGCUGCCUCCCUGGAGCCUGCAAAACUUCUCAGCGACGCACGAGCAGAGUGAAUAAAAUGGCUUCCAACCAACGGGCUGCGGUGAGCGAAGAUAAUAUUGUAGCCUUCAGAAAACACUUGGAUAAUUAUACAUCUGGGGAGCUGAAGAGGCUGAGCGAGCACUUCCGCCCCGACUUGGUCUACGUCAUUGAGAACGACAUUCUCACUGUGCUGCAGGAACUCACCAGCAGAUGUGUCAUCACUGCUCAGCAGGCCCAGGAUUACCAUGACUGGGAGAGGAACCACGACUCAGCCAGCACUGCAGAGAAGCUGGCCGAUGACAUUUUGGCUAUGAACCAGGCCACAGGGCUGGGUCUCUGGACGUGUCUGUUUGCUCUGCAGAGCAGGUGGGCUCACCCCAAUCUCCAUGGGAUGCUGGACGAAAUCAUUCAGAAUGGUCAAAAUCUGUUAAAGGAAAAUCUCCUGAAUGAAAAUGGACAUACUCUUGAUGCCGAACUGAAAGUUUGCCAAAAAAAGCACAAAGAUAAUCUCUGUGACCUGACAUGGAUGAUGAAGGAAAACAGGAGCUCAGGAAAGUCACAGGGACUUCAGCCUCCCUCCAUCUCUAGCCACUAUGUGGAGCUGAAGGUGGUCUCAGACUGUCACUUCAAGAAGCAGACACACCAGGAGCAUGAGGCUCUGGCCGCGGCUGGGGAGCUGAAUGAAUAUCGCCUCCAGAGGAGAAUGAAGAGUGAGCUGGAGCACAUCGCCCCUGACCGGCUCUUCCGCUGGUGCUUUCGAUCCCGCUGUGUCCCCCUAUCUGUGAUGGUGAGCGGAGUAGCCGGCGUGGGCAAGACAACCCUGGUGCAGAAAUUCAUCUUUGACUGGGCAACAGGGAAGCACUACCAGAAAUUUGCCUUUGUUUUCUUCUUCAAGUUCCGGGACCUGAACACUAUUACUGAGAAGAGGAGCCUAGAAUCUCUGAUCUGUCAAACAUAUCCACACCUCCGGGACAAGCUCUCUAGAGUCCUGGAAGACCCUGAGAAGUUGCUCUUCAUCUUUGAUGGCUUGGAUGAGAGCAAGACUGAUUUGAAAUUAAGCAGAAGUGGAUCCCAUGAGCUGUGUAUGAAUCCAGGGGAUGUGAAGCCAGUUACUGUGAUUGUUGCCAGCCUGCUGAAACAGACUCUGCUGAAGGGAUGUUCUGUGCUGCUGACCAGCCGCCCCAGCAAGCUGACCAGUUUGGAGCCUGGAAUCUUCCAUAGAGUGGCCAGUAUCGUGGGCUUCCUCUCCAAGGAAAGGGAAAGAUACUUUUCCGUGUUCUUUGGAGAUGAGCGAGUCUCCAGAGAGGCCUUUGCGUAUGUGAGGGACAGUCAGGUUCUGUACACGCUGUGCUACAACCCGUCUUACUGCUGGAUCACAUGCACGGCCCUGAAACCCUGCUUCACACCCAAGGCAGGGAAACCACAGCCUGCACCCAAAACAGUGAUCCAGCUCUUUGUGAGCUACGUCACCCAUAUUAUGGCCAAUCACACCCAGGAGCGGCCUGAGCCUCAGAAGAUGCGAGAUACAUUGAUAAGGGUCGGAUGGUUGGCUGAAUACGGCAUCACAAACCACAUUCUAGUCUUUGAUCUGAAGUAUUUACAGGAUUUCAAUGUUGAGUUUUCUCCAUUCCUCACUGGCUUCUUGGUGGAGAACCCUCAAACUGAUGACUCUUCCCAGGUGACCUACUCCUUCCUUCACCUCACCAUCCAGGAGUUCUUCGCUGCCCUCGUGCAUUACCUAGAUUACAAGGAGGACAAGUUCAGAGACACAAUGGCUAAAGCCAGGUCCUGUAAGGAAGGUGACUAUGAGAUCUUCUCUCGCUUCCUGGCUGGGCUCUCCCAUCCUGUAACCAGGAUGCCCCUGGAGAAAUAUGUGGGGAAGUUCUCUGCAGAGGCAACUCGUAAGGUUAUUGGAUGGCUCAGUGAGAUGAACUAUGAGGACCUGCAAAGCCCAGAAGAGCCUGAGGGGAAGAGGAGGCUGAUGAACGUAUUCAAUUUGUUUUUUGAAUCUCAGAACAGCCAACUUGUGCAGGAUGUGGUGGGUAAAGCUGCCCAUAUGGACUUCUCUGACUUAUACCUCAUGCCGGUGGAUUGCACAGUCCUUGCUUAUGUGUUGAGUUGCUGUGAAGAAAUACAGCGCCUAACCCUAGAUUCCUGCUUCAUCCAGAACGAGGGCCUGGAGCGACUCAGACCUGAGCUGCACAAAGUCAGAGAACUGAGUCUCCUGGAUAAUGAUCUGAAGGAUCCUACAAUGAAGGAUAUUUGCAAGGCCCUAAAGCACCAGAACUGUAGGCUAGAGGCUCUGAGCCUAGGGAAGAACGCAUUCACUGAACAGUGCUGUGAAGAACUGGCAUCUGCCCUCGCGGAAAACCGGACCCUCCUGCGUCUUGAACUCAAGAAGAAUAAACUGCGGACAGUAGGCCUUUCUUACCUAUCCAGGGUGUUUGAGUCCCCAGAGUGCAAGAUUCGGAAAUUAGGCCUCCAGGGAACUGGUUUGUCAGAUGAAUCCUGCAGGAGCCUCUGCUCUGCUCUCUCCAAAAACUCCAGCCUCCGGCAUCUGAACCUGAGUGCGAAUAUGUUCACUGAUCGGUGUGCUGAAGAAGUGCAUCUUCUUAUCCUGACGUGCCCCAGCCUCACUGAGAUCAGGCUAGGUUUGAACGACUUCUCUCCAGAGGUGGAAAAGCAGCUGAAGAACGUGCAGAGAAAAGGGCUGGACAUUCAUUUUUAAAGAACAGAGCUGUGCUGUUCCAUGCUGUGAAAGCAGCACUGGACGCUAGUGAUGCACUGCCUGGUGCAGCAUCCACUGCCUGUGAUUCAGUGCGAGGGGUGACAGCUGGAGAUUAAAGCACACUGCAUAAGACAUAUAGGGGCACAUUGCAAUGAAACUCGGGCCAAACUCCUAUGAUGGGUCUGCUGAGCUGGGGACUACAACUCCCAUCAGUCCCCUCUGCACAUCCCCUUCCUCCUGGCCAGGUAAGGAAGCGGCAGUCACAUGGCAAGUAAGUGGCUGCAGGGAAACUGAAACAGCAGCCGCUUGGCAAGCAGGGAGUUGGAGAGAAGCUGAAUUCAGAGUGGAGUUCCCAGGAACCAUAUGUGUGGAACAGAGCCAUGUGGGACUUACGGGGGAGCAGCAGUGGCUGGGCAGGAACCCACCACAGAGGGGCCCCAAUGACAGACACUAACUGAGCCUGGCCUGGAAACCUACAAGUUCCUAUUUGCUUGGAAUAGAGACUGGACUGGACAGGGCACCCCAAGCACAAGGCGGGACAAGCCCUGACUCUCGACUGGACUGUCCCAGGGGCCCAAACAUUUACUGCCAUCGCUCUGUUUGAACUGUAAUUGUUUAAGCCUCUGUACCUAAGCAUCAGAGAUUGGCCACAGCUGGGGAUGGGACAGAGGACAUGGUGGACCAGUGCUCUGGGGUGAAUCCUCUUAGAUACCUGGGUGGUGUAUCUUGCCCAUAUGCUCUGAGUCAGGAAGGAAUCUACACCCAGGUAAGAUUGGAAUGCUUCAACUACAGCAUGGGUGUGGCUUGCCUGCUAGGAUCACCUGGGCACAUCUCAAUGAAUCAAUUCCCUGCCAUAGCAGGGGCAUUGGGCAUAGGUGGCACCUCUGUCUCGCCUGUCCUCUGCCUGUGGCACACAACAAUUUAGUCUCCUGAGGACUGAAAUACUUCAGUCUAACUAAAGUUGUUGGGCUCAGUGUAGGGGCAUUAGAGGUAUAUUUGGUUGAAAUUCAACAGCCGGGGAUAUACAGACGGUCAGACUAGAUAACGAACGGUCCCUUUUGGCCUUAAAGUGCAGGAAACCAUGACACAUUGAGACUUCUGACCUAAGUUCUGGAGAGUCCAGCACACAUGGAACAGCCUCACGGCUGACGAUGGCAGGAUUGUCUCAGGUCCUGUAUUGCGAACUAUUUCUCAAAAGUGAUGAAACACAGAUCGAUGUUGCCUGUGCAUAACUGACAGUGCUGGAUUUGGCCUAUGAGGCGUGACACAUGGUGCAGAGCCUAGAGGUUCAAAUAUUUUUCAAAAAGUUUGAAAAAAAGCUAGUCACACUAAUGAAACUGUUCAAAAGGUUAUGUUGGAAUGCAUAUUAUUUUCUUUGUAUCAAUGAUUUUUUUCAAACGAGCAAUGAAAAAUGGAAGUUCUAUUAAAAGUUUACAUGCUAUGGUUUUUGCCACUUGAGAUUUGUACACAAUAUUAAGGUUUCAAACUCCUGUGAAACUGAAUUCUUGAAUGCAAUCUUAACUAAAAUGUGGCAACCAGCUUCCGUAUAAUUAUUACACUACAUACAAAAGAGCUACAUUAGAACAAUGUUAAUGAAGUUGCAAAGUCAAACUCUUGAAAAAAAUGCCAGAUUUGGAGAUGUCCAUGCAUUUUUUAAAUUUGCCCCCGAUGCAUCCAUCCUGUGCACUGAAUGAGACUGGGGUCUUGUGAAAAAAUAGCAUGUGAUCAUGUAAUUGAGGAUUGUUUUAUAAUCCACACCUACACAGAGGCAGAAGUUGGGCAGGCAACAGUAAAACUGGCAUGUCUUAACUUCUGAGUAUUUUUGACUUUGCAAACUAACAAACGUUCUAUUCAAUGUUGUUUUUAAUAUGUAAUUUCCUAGGU